AUCUAGCUGACGAGUCGUAAAUAGGACGAGACGCGCGUUUUAAAU
rnacentral:hammerhead_ribozyme from 1 species